CACCCCCGGUCCCUUGGGUCCCUGCCCCCUUGGGUGCUUGCCCCAACUCCCCAGCCUCCCAGCCUGUGACCAUCACACGGAGCUCAGCCUGCCACUCUCACAAGGACGAUCGCCUGCCCUAACCCCUGGCCACGCUGCCCCACAAGGCGUGUGCUAUGAACAUGGGGUUUCCCGGGUGCCUCCUGCUCCCAGCUGGGCACCCCCUUGGCAGGAGCUCGGCUGCCUGCGCUGGAGCUGGGAAGACAAAGAUCCCCAUCCUCCUGGUCUGGCUUUGGGGACUGGAAAAUGUUACAAUAUUGGCAAUUACAAUUCCUGUUUCGGUGGGUGUGAUUUUGGCUCUUGUUCUGCCCCUGGUGUAUUACCUUAAGAAGAAGAAGAAAGGUAUGUAAACAUGGAAACCUCACAUUAUUCACAAAUGAACAGGUAUAGGAGGCAAACAAAGGACAUAAAAAAGAGAUUCCCACCUCACAUGGUGUUCUCAGACAUGGGAAACCUGAAGAAAAUAACAUUUAAAUAAUUGCCAUAUAGAAAAUCUGAACCUGAAAUGUGAACCCUUUCAGACAUUGAGGGUAAAGAGAGCAAAAUGGGGGUUAAACUCCAGCUCUGAACUUAAUCUUCUGAGGUCCUUUCCAGACCUAUGAUUCUAUCUAGACCAUCCAUGCAGGACCAUGUAAACCUAGAUGAUCCCUGGCAGAUGUUUAUCUAACCUCUUCUUAAAAUCCUCCGAUGAAGGGGCUUCCACUACUUAGCUAAAUAACCUAUUCCAGUGCUUGACUAUCCUUAGAGUUAGAAAGUUUUCCUAAUACCUAACCUUAAACCGCCCUUGCUGCAGAUUAAGACCAUUAAUUCAUGUUUUACUUAACAGACAUGGAGAACAAUUUAUCACCUCCUCUUCAUAACUUGUACCUAAAGUUUUGGUUUGAGAUAUAUUUUCUGGAUCUGAUUUGGAUUUGGUUUGACAUGGAAGAAAUCUUGCAAGAACAGCUGAUUUUGUGAGACUUGAAUGAUUUGAGAUCAAAAUCAUAUGACCCACAGCUUGUCAGAUUUCACCACUGACCCUGAGCCUAUACACUAGUCCAGGAUUGACCUUGAGUCUGAAUUUAGGAGCUGGUCAAUAUUUUUCAAAUUUCAAAAAUUGGAUGAAAAUCCAGAUUUUGAUAUUUGAAACAAACUAGAAAAACAUUCGUUAAGGGGCUUAUUCCUUCACCCUCUCACUUCCCUGGUCCUUCUCGCAUGAACAGAGAGCAACAAUACCUGAAGUCCAAAGGCGCAAACAAUUUGAUGUUUAUUAGGGUGAACUUCCAGCAAGCAUGAUUCCAGUUUCCUUCCUCAGUGUUCCCCUUCCCAGCUCUGACACCACAGAGCCAUCCCUGUUCCCAUUCCCCCCUU
rnacentral:lncRNA from 1 species